rnacentral:tRNA from 1 species
GGUCCGGUGGUGUAGUGGUUAACAUGCUUGCCUGUCACGCAGGAGAUCACGGGUUCAAAUCCCGUCCGGACCGCCA